CUGGUAUUGAUUGGUGCUUGCAUCAUGAUUUACAUUUGAGUGAGUGGCGAACUGGUGAGUAACACGUGGGAAACCUGCCCAGAAGCGGGGGAUAACACCUGGAAACAGAUGCUAAUACCGCAUAACAACUUGGACCGCAUGGUCCGAGUUUGAAAGAUGGCUUCGGCUAUCACUUUUGGAUGGUCCCGCGGCGUAUUAGCUAGAUGGUGGGGUAACGGCUCACCAUGGCAAUGAUACGUAGCCGACCUGAGAGGGUAAUCGGCCACAUUGGGACUGAGACACGGCCCAAACUCCUACGGGAGGCAGCAGUAGGGAAUCUUCCACAAUGGACGAAAGUCUGAUGGAGCAACGCCGCGUGAGUGAAGAAGGGUUUCGGCUCGUAAAACUCUGUUGUUAAAGAAGAACAUAUCUGAGAGUAACUGUUCAGGUAUUGACGGUAUUUAACCAGAAAGCCACGGCUAACUACGUGCCAGCAGCCGCGGUAAUACGUAGGUGGCAAGCGUUGUCCGGAUUUAUUGGGCGUAAAGCGAGCGCAGGCGGUUUUUUAAGUCUGAUGUGAAAGCCUUCGGCUCAACCGAAGAAGUGCAUCGGAAACUGGGAAACUUGAGUGCAGAAGAGGACAGUGGAACUCCAUGUGUAGCGGUGAAAUGCGUAGAUAUAUGGAAGAACACCAGUGGCGAAGGCGGCUGUCUGGUCUGUAACUGACGCUGAGGCUCGAAAGUAUGGGUAGCAAACAGGAUUAGAUACCCUGGUAGUCCAUACCGUAAACGAUGAAUGCUAAGUGUUGGAGGGUUUCCGCCCUUCAGUGCUGCAGCUAACGCAUUAAGCAUUCCGCCUGGGGAGUACGGCCGCAAGGCUGAAACUCAAAGGAAUUGACGGGGGCCCGCACAAGCGGUGGAGCAUGUGGUUUAAUUCGAAGCUACGCGAAGAACCUUACCAGGUCUUGACAUACUAUGCAAAUCUAAGAGAUUAGACGUUCCCUUCGGGGACAUGGAUACAGGUGGUGCAUGGUUGUCGUCAGCUCGUGUCGUGAGAUGUUGGGUUAAGUCCCGCAACGAGCGCAACCCUUAUUAUCAGUUGCCAGCAUUAAGUUGGGCACUCUGGUGAGACUGCCGGUGACAAACCGGAGGAAGGUGGGGAUGACGUCAAAUCAUCAUGCCCCUUAUGACCUGGGCUACACACGUGCUACAAUGGAUGGUACAACGAGUUGCGAACUCGCGAGAGUAAGCUAAUCUCUUAAAGCCAUUCUCAGUUCGGAUUGUAGGCUGCAACUCGCCUACAUGAAGUCGGAAUCGCUAGUAAUCGCGGAUCAGCAUGCCGCGGUGAAUACGUUCCCGGGCCUUGUACACACCGCCCGUCACACCAUGAGAGUUUGUAACACCCAAAGUCGGUGG
rnacentral:rRNA from 2 species